UUUGAUUGUCAAACAUCCGCGUGUUGUCGUCACACACACACGCGGUGUAUUCGGUGAGCUAUGGUGGUGUCGUUGCUGCUGUGCAUGUUGAGGCGCCUCUCUUCUCGGGAGGUGUCACCUCAUGUGCUGGGCCGCGCCGUCAUACCUUGCUUAGGCUAUGUUCCAUAUAUCGCUCGUUGUCAUUUGCUCCAUGCGAGGCGAUGAUGGCCGUCAAGUGUCGCUCUCUUUGUCCAUAGAUACGGCUCCGAGCACGUGUUUGCCAAUUGGCUAUCGGUUUGGAGUGCCCGUAUCGACCGCUGGAAAUGGAUGAGGGGGGUGAUGCCGGGUGGCUGUCACUUUGU
rnacentral:rRNA from 1 species